GACGAACGCUGGCGGCGUGCCUAAUACAUGCAGGUAGAACGCUGAAGGAGGAGCUUGCUUCUCUGGAUGAGUUGCGAAUGGGUGAGUAACGCGUAGGUAACCUGCCUGGUAGCGGGGGAUAACUAUUGGAAACGAUAGCUAAUACCGCAUAAUAUUGACUAUUGCAUGAUAGUCAGUUGAAAGGUGCAACUGCACCACUACCAGAUGGACCUGCGUUGUAUUAGCUAGUUGGUGGGGUAACGGCUCACCGAGGCGACGAUACAUAGCCGACCUGGGAGGGUGAUCGGCCACACUGGGACUGAGACACGGCCCAGACUCCUACGGGAGGCAGCAGUAGGGAAUCUUCGGCAAUGGACGGAAGUCUGACCGAGCAACGCCGCGUGAGUGAAGAAGGUUGUCGGAUCGUAAAGCUCUGUUGUAAGAGAAGAACGAGGGUGAGAGUGGAAAGCUCACACUGUGACGGUAUCUUACCAGAAAGGGACGGCUAACUACGUG
rnacentral:rRNA from 1 species